rnacentral:rRNA from 1 species
GGGUGAGUAACGCGUGGGCAACCUGCCCUGUACCGGGGGACAACAGCCAGAAAUGGCUGCUAAUACCGCAUAAGCCUGCUGUGCCGCAUGACACAGCAGGGAAAACCACGGUGGUACAGGAUGGGCCCGCGUCUGAUUAGUUAGUUGGCAGGGUAACGGCCUACCAAGACAACGAUCAGUAGCCGGCUUGAGAGAGUGGACGGCCACAUUGGGACUGAGACACGGCCCAGACUCCUGCGGGAGGCAGCAGUGGGGAAUAUUGCACAAUGGGGGGAACCCUGAUGCAGCAAUGCCGCGUGGGUGAAGAAGCACUCCGGUGCGUAAAGCCCUGUCAGCAGGGAAGAAAAUGACAGUACCUGGACAAGAAGCCCCGGCUAACUACGUGCCAGCAGCCGCGGUAAUACGUAGGGGGCAAGCGUUAUCCGGAUUUACUGGGUGUAAAGGGAGCGCAGGCGGCGUGGCAAGUCAGAUGUGAAAACCCGGGGCCCAACCCCGGGAGUGCAUUUGAAACUGCCAUGCUGGAGUGCCGGAGAGGUAAGCGGAAUUCCUAGUGUAGCGGUGAAAUGCGUAGAUAUUAGGAGGAACACCAGUGGCGGAGGCGGCUUACUGGACGGUAACUGACGCUGAGGCUCGAAAGCGUGGGGAGCAAACAGGAUUAGAUACCCUGGUAGUCCACGCCGUAA